GACGAACGCUGGCGGCGUGCUUAACACAUGCAAGUCGAACGGAAAGGCCCUGCUUUUGUGGGGUGCUCGAGUGGCGAACGGGUGAGUAACACGUGAGUAACCUGCCCUUGACUUUGGGAUAACUUCAGGAAACUGGGGCUAAUACCGGAUAGGAGCUCCUGCUGCAUGGUGGGGGUUGGAAAGUUUCGGCGGUUGGGGAUGGACUCGCGGCUUAUCAGCUUGUUGGUGGGGUAGUGGCUUACCAAGGCUUUGACGGGUAGCCGGCCUGAGAGGGUGACCGGCCACAUGGGGACUGAGAGACGGACCAGACUCCUACGGGAGGCAGCAGUGGGGAAUAUUGCACAAUGGGCGGAAGCCUGAUGCAGCAACGCCGCGUGCGGGAUGACGGCCUUCGGGUUGUAAACCGCUUUCGCCGGUGACGAAGCGUGAGUGACGGUAAUGGGUAAAGAAGCACCGGCUAACUACGUG
rnacentral:rRNA from 1 species